UAUUGAGAGUUUGAUCCUGGCUCAGGAUGAACGCUGGCGGCGUGACUAAGGCAUGCAAGUCGAGGGAUCGGCCCUUUUUUACUUCGGUAAUAUUGGGUACGGACCGGCAAACGGGUGAGUAACACAUUAGUAAUCUACCUUCAAGUUGAGAAUAGCCCAGGGAAACCUGGAUUAAUGCUCGAUAGUCAUGGGGGGUCAUAUGACAUUCCCAUGUAAAGAUUUAUCGCUUGAAGAGGAGCUUAUGGCAGAUUAGCUAGUUGGUAGGGUAAUGGCCUACCAAGGCUUUGAUCUGUAGCAGGCGUGAGAGCGUGACCUGCCUCACUGGGACUGAGACACUGCCCAGACUCCUA
rnacentral:rRNA from 1 species